rnacentral:lncRNA from 1 species
AAUUCAACCCAUGUCUGAGUGCACAAGUGCAAUAUAUCGCACAAGUCGUGCGCCACUUUUCCUCUCGCGGCUUCCCUAUUACGCUAGUGUCGUCUGGUGGGGAACGGCGACAACUCGUUUUCUGUCAACACCAUUCUGGUAGGCAAAAUGUCAGGCAAAACAGUCUUAAAAAAGAAACUUUAGCUACUGAACGAGUAGAAGUGAAUAAAAGUGCUAGUGAAAAGGACAAUUGUAAAGAAUAAAAGCCAUUUAUAAGUUAUAACUCCUGUUUUCUCGACUAGUGUGUGGUUUAAGAGUAGGUGUCACAAAUAAUAAGUUUAGGAAGCAGUAUGAUGUGCAUUAGUAUGAUGUGGAACAGACAGUUUGCAGGACAAAAUUGGAGAGCUCGAGCAACAACAAGUAAAUCAAAACAGCACAAAAAAGCAGUCUAAGAAAAAAGACGCAGCAGGAGGCUAUAAACUCUCACCGGUUAAGCUCUCCUCUCAGAACAUGAUUGGAUUGAUUGGCCAUUUAAAUGCCGUUUAAAAUCAAUCACUCUUUAUCAAUGAGAAUGGAUUCUACUACGGAUACAUGGUUGCUGGUUUAUGUGUCUGGAUUGAUUUAUCACCAAUAUUGAGCUAGUUGCGUGACGCUCACGGCAGUCUUCGUUUUCAUUACAACACUACAUGAUUGCUGGGAAGGUGAAGGCUUACCAAGAUGUUUUUAGUUCCGUCUUAUGGAAUCCUGAAUAAACUUCGAAAGUUGCGUCUACUAGAUGGGAUGGAUUAAUUAAUUUUUUAGACUAGAAGUACGUCUUAUAACUGUCAUUCUGUGUUAAUCAAUUAACAAGGCUCGUCGCUCGAUUUCACGCGAAUAAUUCAUGAGAAAUACAAAUUUCGUAACACACAAA